rnacentral:rRNA from 1 species
AUGGCCUGCGCGCGCGACGGGGAGCUCCCAGCGGAGGCCGGGUACAGCCGGUCGUGGUGGUGUUCGCGGUGCGCCCAGAGCUGCGGCGACGGCGUGCCGGAGCCGGAGCCGGACUCCGGCGAGCCUUGCCUGGACGCCUGCAGCCAGCGGAAGUCCUCCUCCCCCGCGCGCGGCGCCAUCGGGUUCGCCGUCGCCACAACCGGCGGCCGCGGCGGCAGCGCGCGCCCCUCGCCGGCCUCCGCGCGCCACGACGGCGUCGGCGAAUCCCCGGCGAAGCUGAACUCCUGCCUCCGAUGCACCGACCGCCUCGCCAUCGACAGAGAGGGAGGAGCGGAGGGAGCGGUGUGGAAAGGGAUGGAGGGGUGCGUUACGUGUGUGUGGGGUUUGUUUGCGGCGGGUCUUUUGCGGCUUUAA